rnacentral:lncRNA from 1 species
CAGGGAUCCAGGACAUGGCCUCCAGGCUGGUGGUUGAGCGUCCCAAGGGUGGCAUCACCACUGCCAGGACCAGUGUCUGUCUCUGUCUCGGGACACAGAGGCUAUAACUCUCUGUUGACUGUCUUCAUGCUGCACCCUGAGCCAUUUACAGCAGGAUGCCCAUCUGAUUCCCUCUGAGCCCCAAGAAUGGUUAGGAAAGGAAUAUUUGUACGUCUUAAACCUCACAAUAAAUGAUAUGAUCCCAGUUUUACAGGUGAGCAGAUCAAGGGCGACAGUAAUUAAGUGACUGGCUCCAGGUCACAGCCAAUGAGGAAUAUGACACUACUUUAAAUUUUAUUACAGAAAUUUUCAAACAUAUACAAAAGAAAAUAUCCGUAACUCCCACAGUAUUUAUCAUCCAGUUUCAACCACUAUCAACAUUUUGCCACUUAUUUUUCUCCUAUUCUCAUUUUUUUUUUUACCAGAGCAUUUAUAAAGCAAAUUCCAGACCCUGUGGCAAUUUACUGUAAAUACUUCCAUUUGCAUCUCUAAACAAUUAGAACAUUUUACCUAACCACCAGGCCAUUAUCUCUCCCUAAUAAAAGUAUCAAUAACUCCUUAUUAUCAUCUAAUACUGCUUAUAUUCAAAUUUCCUCCCCCUUUCACAAAUGUCUUUUUGACAGCUGGUCUGUUCUGUCUGAUCCAAAUAAGGUCCACACACUCCAAUUGGUCCUGUCUUUUAAGCAGUUUUAUUCUCAAACAGUCGUCCUUUCUUUUUUUCUCGAGGCCCUUCGUUAAUGAAUAAACUAGGCCAUUUGUCUGGUAUAACAUCCCACAUUCUGGAUUUGGCUGUUUGCCUCCUCCUGCAGGUGGCACAGGGCCUGGCACAGAGCAGGUGUUCAUUCAACAUUACAAAUCCUAAUACGUUUGUAUUUGUGAGCUUUAGCUUGGUCCCUAAAGUCUUCCUAGGUGCUGCUCUCAUUUUGUUGUUCUGUGUUUUAUUCAGAGAAAACUGAAGGGGAUAGAAAAGUGCAAGCAAAACCAACAAGCACCCACAUUCCCAGCAUCCAACAUCAACACUGCUAACGUUUUG